AGUGCGCCUGCGCGCUUGUGGAGCUGGUGGCGGCGCUCCGCAGGGGCUCGGCUGUUUUCCGCGCGGCAGGCGCGGCCAUGGCGCAGCUGGGAAAGCUGCUCAAGGAGCAGAAGUACGACCGGCAGCUGAGGCGAUUCCUCCAUACAUUUGACAGCUGUCUGGGCCCUUAUGGAGCAUACAGUGGAGUGGAAAGAUGGAUGCUCAGCAAACAAAAACAAAUGAAGCCAGGUACAGUGGCUUGUGCCUGUAGUCCCAGCAACUCUAGAGGCUGAGGUUGUGGGGUGAUCAUGGGCAAGAGGCUUUAGAAUCUGCUCAUGUUUGCCUAAUAAAUGCAACAGCCACAGGAACUGAAAUUCUUAAAAACUUGGUACUACCAGGUAUUGGUUCGUUUACAAUUAUUGAUGGAAAUCAGGUCAGCGGAGAAGAUGCUGGAAACAAUUUCUUCCUUCAAAGAAGCAGUAUCGGCAAGAACCGAGCUGAAGCUGCCAUGGAAUUCUUACAAGAAUUAAAUAGCGAUGUCUCUGGAAGUUUUGUGGAAGAGAGUCCAGAAAACCUUCUAGACAAUGA
rnacentral:lncRNA from 10 species